GUUUGAAAGGCUGAGGGUGAAGGAGCGACAGAUCUGAAAAUAGCCGGAGCUGAGGGGCCUCAGGGUCUACCCUGACUCGCUUUUCCCGGACGGUCUCCUAGGAGAGAGGCUGUGGCCAGCUGACGCGACUUCCUUCUGCUACUGAGGUGAGAAGUCUUAGGGCAGAUGCGGAUGUCCAGGGCUUCGAGAUGGAGUCUCACUGUGGCACCCAGGCUGGAGUACACUGGCAUGAUCUCGGCUCACUGUAACUUCCACCUCCCAGGAUCAAGCAAUUCUCCCUGCCUCAGCCUCCUGAGUAGCUGGAAUUACAGGCGCCCACCAUAGUGCCCGGCUAAUUUUUGUAUUUUUUUAGUAGAGACGGGGUUUCACGAUGUUGGUCAGGCUGGUCUUGAACUCCGGACCUCAAGUGAUCUACCCACCUCGGCCUCCCAAAGUGCUGGGAUUACAGGCAUGAGCCACCAGCCGGCCGGUUUUCAAACCUA
ensembl:lncRNA novel transcript, antisense to ZNF689